UCGGGAAUUUUGGGCAAUGGGCGAAAGCCUGACCCAGCAACGCCGCGUGAAGGAUGAAAUCCCUCGGGAUGUAAACUUCGCAAGAACGGGAAGAAUAAGUGGAAGUUAAUACCUUCCAUGAUGACGGUACCGUUUGUAAGCUCCGGCUAACUCCGUGCCAGCAGCCGCGGUAAUACGGGGGGAGCAAGCGUUGUUCGGAUUUACUGGGCGUAAAGGGCGCGUAGGCGGCCUCCGCAAGUCAGUUGUGAAAUCUCCGAGCUUAACUCGGAAAGGUCAACUGAUACUGCGGGGCUAGAGUGCGGAAGGGGCAACUGGAAUUCUUGGUGUAGCGGUGAAAUGCGUAGAUAUCAAGAGGAACACCUGCGGCGAAGGCGGGUUGCUGGGCCGACACUGACGCUGAGGCGCGAAAGCUAGGGGAGCGAAC
rnacentral:rRNA from 1 species